UCCGGUUUGUCACCGGCAGUCUCCCUAGAGUGCCCUUGCGUAGCAACUAGGGACAAGGGUUGCGCUCGUUGCGGGACUUAACCCAACAUCUCACGACACGAGCUGACGACAGCCAUGCAGCACCUGUGUUACGGCUCCCUUUCGGGCACACCCAGCUCUCGCUGGGCUUCCGUACAUGUCAAGGGUAGGUAAGGUGGGGAUGACGUAGACGUCAUAACC
rnacentral:misc_RNA from 1 species